CCUACGGGAUGCAGCAGUGAGGAAUAUUGGUCAAUGGGCUUACGCCUGAACCAGCCAAGUCGCGUGAGGGAAGACUGCCCUAUGGGUUGUAAACCUCUUUUGUCAGGGAGCAACGCCGGCUACGUGUAGCCGGACUGAGAGUACCUGAAGAAAAAGCAUCGGCUAACUCCGUGCCAGCAGCCGCGGUAAUACGGAGGAUGCGAGCGUUAUCCGGAUUUAUUGGGUUUAAAGGGUGCGUAGGCGGAAUGCCAAGUCAGCGGGAAAAUCGCGGGGCUCAACCUCGCUCCGCCGUUGAAACUGGCGUUCUUGAGUGGGCGAGAAGUAUGCGGAAGGCGUGGUGUAGCGGUGAAAUGCAGAGAUAUCACGCAGAACUCCGAUUGCGAAGGCAGCAUACCGGCGCCCAACUGACGCUGAAGCACGAAAGCGUGGGUAUCGAACAGGAUUAGAUACCCUGGUAGUC
rnacentral:rRNA from 1 species